CCUACGGGGGGCAGCAGUGGGGAAUAUUGGACAAUGGGCGAAAGCCUGAUCCAGCCAUGCCGCGUGUGUGAAGAAGGUCUUCGGAUUGUAAAGCACUUUAAGUUGGGAGGAAGGGUUGUAGUUUAAUACGCUACAACUUUGACGUUACCAACAGAAUAAGCACCGGCUAACUCUGUGCCAGCAGCCGCGGUAAUACAGAGGGUGCAAGCGUUAAUCGGAAUUACUGGGCGUAAAGCGCGCGUAGGCGGCUUGAUAAGAUGGGUGUGAAAUCCCCGGGCUUAACCUGGGAACUGCAUCCAUAACUGUCUGGCUAGAGUACAGUAGAGGGUGGUGGAAUUUCCUGUGUAGCGGUGAAAUGCGUAGAUAUAGGAAGGAACACCAGUGGCGAAGGCGACCACCUGGACUGAUACUGACGCUGAGGUGCGAAAGCGUGGGGAGCAAACAGGAUUAGAUACCCCCGUAGUC
rnacentral:rRNA from 1 species